rnacentral:rRNA from 1 species
GAUGAACGCUGGCGGCGUGCUUAACACAUGCAAGUCGAACGAUGAAGCCCAGCUUGCUGGGUGGGUUAGUGGCGAACGGGAGUGUAACACGUGAGUAACCUGCCCUUAACUCUGGGAUAAGCCUGGGAAACUGGGUCUAAUACCUGCUAGGUGCGCCUACCGCCUGGUGGGUGUUGGAAAGCUUUAGCGGUAUUGGAUGGAUGUGCGGCUUAUCAGCUUGUUGGUGAGGUAAUGGCUAACCAAAGCGACGACGGGUAGCCGGCCUGAGAGGGUGGCCGGCCACACUGGGACUGAGAGACGGAGCAGACGCCUACGGGAGGCAGCAGUGGGGAGUAUUGCACAAUGGGCGAAAGCCUGAUGCGGCGACGCCGCGUGAGGGAUGACGGCCUUCGGGUUGUAAACCUCUUUCAGUAGGGAAGAAGCGAAAGUGACGGUACCUGAAGAAGAAGCACCGGCUAACUACGUG